rnacentral:rRNA from 1 species
GUGCAUGCGGGUGCAUAUACAUGCAGUCGAGCGGACAGAUGGGAGCUUGCUCCCUGAUGUUAGCGGCGGACGGGUGAGUAACACGUGGGUAACCUGCCUGUAAGACUGGGAUAACUCCGGGAAACCGGGGCUAAUACCGGAUGGUUGUUUGAACCGCAUGGUUCAGACAUAAAAGGUGGCUUCGGCUACCACUUACAGAUGGACCCGCGGCGCAUUAGCUAGUUGGUGAGGUAACGGCUCACCAAGGCGACGAUGCGUAGCCGACCUGAGAGGGUGAUCGGCCACACUGGGACUGAGACACGGCCCAGACUCCUACGGGAGGCAGCAGUAGGGAAUCUUCCGCAAUGGACGAAAGUCUGACGGAGCAACGCCGCGUGAGUGAUGAAGGUUUUCGGAUCGUAAAGCUCUGUUGUUAGGGAAGAACAAGUGCCGUUCAAAUAGGGCGGCACCUUGACGGUACCUAACCAGAAAGCCACGGCUAACUACGUGCCAGCAGCCGCGGUAAUACGUAGGUGGCAAGCGUUGUCCGGAAUUAUUGGGCGUAAAGGGCUCGCAGGCGGUUUCUUAAGUCUGAUGUGAAAGCCCCCGGCUCAACCGGGGAGGGUCAUUGGAAACUGGGGAACUUGAGUGCAGAAGAGGAGAGUGGAAUUCCACGUGUAGCGGUGAAAUGCGUAGAGAUGUGGAGGAACACCAGUGGCGAAGGCGACUCUCUGGUCUGUAACUGACGCUGAGGAGCGAAAGCGUGGGGAGCGAACAGGAUUAGAUACCCUGGUAGUCCACGCCGUAAACGAUGAGUGCUAAGUGUUAGGGGGUUUCCGCCCCUUAGUGCUGCAGCUAACGCAUUAAGCACUCCGCCUGGGGAGUACGGUCGCAAGACUGAAACUCAAAGGAAUUGACGGGGGCCCGCACAAGCGGUGGAGCAUGUGGUUUAAUUCGAAGCAACGCGAAGAACCUUACCAGUCUUGACAUCCUCUGACAAUCCUAGAGAUAGGACGUCCCCUUCGGGGCAGAGUGACAGUGGUGCAUGGUGUCGUCAGCUCGUGUCGUGAGAUGUUGGGUUAAGUCCCGCACGAGCGCACCCUUGAUCUUAGUUGCCAGCAUUCAGUUG